GACGAACGCUGGCGGCGUGCUUAACACAUGCAAGUCGAACGGAAAGGCCCUGCUUUUGUGGGGUUCUCGAGUGGCGAACGGGUGUGUAACACGUGAGUAUCCUGCCCUUGACUUUGUGAUAUCUUCAGGAAACUGGUGCUAAUACCGGAUAGGAGCUCCUGCUGCAUGGUGGUGGUUGGAAAGUUUCGGCGGUUGUGGAUGGACUCGCGGCUUAUCAGCUUGUUGGUGGGGUAGUGGCUUACCAAGGCUUUGACGGGUAGCCGGCCUGAGAGGGUGAACGGCGACAUUGGGACUGAGAGACGGACCAGACUCCUACGGGAGGCAGCAGGGGAGAAUAUUGCACAAUGGGCGGAAGCCUGAUGCAGAAACGCCGCGUGCGGGAUGACGGCCUUCGGGUGGUAAACCGCUGUCGCCUGUGACGAAGCGUGAGUGACGGUAAUGGGUAAAGAAGCACCGGCUAACUACGUG
rnacentral:rRNA from 1 species